rnacentral:rRNA from 1 species
AAGAAAUAAGUUCAGCACUAAGUCACUUUACAUAUUGUAUUGUAAAUGUGAGAUGCAGUGUAUGGAAUAUUCAAUUCUAAUAUGAGAAAUUAUUGAUUUAAGUCCUUCUUAAAUGAGGCCAUUUACCCAAAGAGGGUGGUAGGCCCGUAUAACGAUAAUGAUUAUUAGUGAAUAUUUCCAAAGAGUCGUGUUGCUUGAUAGUGCAGCACUAAGUGGGUGGUAAACUCCAUCUAAAACUAAAUAUAACCAUGAGACCGAUAGUAAACAAGUACCGUGAGGGAAAGUUGAAAAGAACUCUGAAUAGAGAGUUAAAUAGUACGUGAAACUGCUUAGAGGUUAAGCCCGAUGAAUCUGAAUAUCCAAUAAUGGGAAAUUCAUCAUUAUGAUUAUGAUAUUUUAUGAAUGAGUUUUCUUUGUUCAUUUUAUAUGGAUAAAAGGAAAUAUAAUUUAUAAAUAUAUUGUAGUAAUAAUGUGCAUUUUUUCCAUAAAAGGACAUUGUAAUCUAUUAAUAUGAAAUAAAUAAUAAUUUAUCAAAAGGUUAUAUGGAUAAUAUAAUGAUUAAAUGUAUACUUAAUUAUAUUCUGUAAUGGAGUAUAAUUAUAUUAUUUAAUUCCAUUAACUUGAUAAAAUAUUGAUAGAUUUAAUAUAUAUGGUGCCUAUAAAUAUAUGAAUUACUCUAUAUUUUUAAUAUAGUGUAAAAGAUAUAUAUUAUUUUGAAGGGUGCGUUUCUUUUUAUUUUCUCUUUUUUUUUAUAAAUUGAGGAAUUUAAAGUUAACGUUUAUACUCUUUUUAAUAUAUAUAUAUACUUAUACAUGAGUUAUUAUGCACUUAAAAAAUAAUGAAUAUAUGAUUUACAAUGCGAAAGAUUCAGAAUACCUUCGGGACCCGUCUUGAAACACGGACCAAGGAGUCUAACAUAUUUGCAAGUUAUUGGGUAUUUAUAUUAUAAAUAAUGAUAUAAAUUAUGAAAAAAACCUAAUAGCGUAAUUAACAUAACGAAAUAUAAUAAAUAAUGGGAUUAAUUUUGAAAUAUUAUAAAAAUAUUAUAUAUAUUAUAAAUACAAUCCCGGGGCGUUCUAUAUAGUUAUGUAUGAUUGAUAUUAUUUCAUUUAUUUGGAAUAGUAUUAUAUAAUUGUACCUCUAACUGGAGCGUACCUUGAGCAUAUAUGCUGUGACCCGAAAGAUGGUGAACUAUACUUGAUCAGGUUGAAGUCAGGGGAAACCCUGAUGGAGGACCGAAGCAGUUCUGACGUGCAAAUCGAUUGUCAGAAUUGAGUAUAGGGGCGAAAGACUAAUCGAACCAUCUAGUAGCUGGUUCCCUCCGAAGUUUCCCGCAGGAUAGCUGGUGCAUUAAAUAAUUAUAAAAAGUAAUCUUAUCUGGUAAAGCGAAUGAUUAGAGGCCUUAGGGUCGAAACGAUUUUAACCUAUUCUCAAACUUUAAAUGGGUAAGAACCCACACCUUGCUUGAAAUGAAGGUGUUAUAUAUAUAAAUAAAUGAAAAAAAACCAUAUAAAUAUAUAUAUAAAAAUGGUUAUGAUAUAAUGUGCCCAGUGGGCCACUUUUGGUAAGCAGAACUGGCGCUGUGGGAUGAACCAAACGUAAUGUUACGGUGCCCAAAUUAAUAACUCAUACAGAUACCAUGAAAGGCGUUGGUUGCUUAAAACAGCAGGACGGUGGACAUGGAAGUCGUAAUCCGCUAAGGAGUGUGUAACAACUCACCUGCCGAAGCAACUAGCCCUUAAAAUGGAUGGCGCUCAAGUUAUAUACCUAUACAUUACCGCUAAAGUAGAUGAUUUAUUCUGUUUAUUUUAUAAAUAGAUAAAUUUUGAAACUUUAGUGAGUAGGAGGGUACGAUGGUGUGCAUAGAAGUGUUUGGCGUAAGCCUGCAUGGAGCCGCCAUUGGUACAGAUCUUGGUGGUAGUAGCAAAUAAUCGAAUGAGACCUUGGAGGACUGAAGUGGAGAAGGGUUUCGUGUGAACAGUGGUUGAUCACGAGUUAGUCGGUCCUAAGUUUAAAGCGAAAGCUGAAAAUUUUCAAGUUAAAUAAGAAAUGAAUAUAUAAAAUGAAAUAAUGAAAUUGAAUGAAUGAAUGAAUGAAACACUUGAAAAUUAAUUAAACGAAAGGGAAUACGGUUCCAAUUCCGUAACCUGUUGAGUAUCCGUUUGUUUAUUAAAUGUGGGCCAAUGUGCUCAUCCUGGUAACAGGAACGACCAUAAAGAAGCCGUCGAGAGAUAUCGGAAGAGUUUUCUUUUCUGUUUUAUAGUCGUACUACCAUGGAAGUCUUUCGAAGAGAGAUAUGGUAGAUGGGCUAGAAGAGCAUGACAUUUACUGUUGUGUCGAUAUUUUCUCCUCGGACCUUGAAAAUUUAUGGUGGGGUCACGCAAACUUCUCAACAGGCCGUACCAAUAUCCGCAGCUGGUCUCCAAGGUGAAGAGUCUCUAGUC